CCUACGGGGCGCAGCAGUGGGGAAUAUUGCACAAUGGGGGAAACCCUGAUGCAGCAACGCCGCGUGAAGGAAGACGGUUUUCGGAUUGUAAACUUCUAUCAAUAGGGAAGAAAGAAAUGACGGUACCUAAAUAAGAAGCCCCGGCUAACUACGUGCCAGCAGCCGCGGUAAUACGUAGGGGGCAAGCGUUAUCCGGAAUUACUGGGGGUAAAGGGAGAGUAGGGGGCAAGGUAAGCGAUAUGUGAACGCCUUAAGCUUAACUUAAGGAUGGCAUAACGAACUAUCUAGCUAGAGUACAGGAGAGGAAAGCGGAAUUCCUAGUGUAGCGGUGAAAUUCGUAGAUAUUAGGAAGAACACCAGUGGCGAAGGCGGCUUUCUGGACUGAAACUGACGCUGAGGCUCGAAAGCGUGGGGAGCGAACAGGAUUAGAUACCCUGGUAGUC
rnacentral:rRNA from 1 species